rnacentral:lncRNA from 1 species
CUUGGCGGAGACCCUCCCCUAUUCCACCUCCCUCCCCAACACAUACAGCUCUGGCUGAGGGGGCACUUCCUCCCCCCAGCAUCCCUGACUCAAACCGCCACCCAAAAGCAAUAGGGAGAAAGGGUUAAAAGUUGCACAACGCAUCCGGGAGUCACCGAGCAGCAGCAGCAGCCUGGGCUCUGCAUCCCGAGCCCCGGGCUGCAGCAGAGGCGCUGGGGUGAGCGCUACAGUCGGGUGCCCGUCACCCACCCCGAGCCCGGCGGGCCCCUCACCUUGCGCGUUGUGCUGGUUGUUCUCCAUGAUCGAGGGGGUCGCCGAGCUGCUGCCCAGCUCGGCCAGUCUCCGGUUGGUGGCUGUCAGCUCGGCUCGCAGGGCAGAAAUCAAAACAGAAGCAGGCAUCAAAACAGCACGUCCACUAUCUGGGAGGGAAAAGGACAUAACCCCCAAGCCCUUCAAUAUAUAGGUUUGGUUUUGAAUAAAGAAAGAGCCUCUGAAGUGUAAGAUCCCCCAUCAUCCUAAUAAUUAAGGCCACCAUGACAUUAAAGACAAGCAAGGAAAUUGAUGCAAAUCACAGAUUGUAAUCUGAAUCCAAAUCCUGCAGCUUUAAAGAAAGAAAGAAAAAAGAGAAGCUCUUCAGCAACCACCAAAAAUCUUAUGCAAAUCCACCUCAGAUGAUUUGUUCUUGUAAAGAUGUGAAACCCGACUGAAUUUUGAAAGUUACAGUAGCAGGUUGGUGGAAUAGACUUUCACAUCCAGGCAGUUCACUAGGGAAAGCCUAAAGGAGAUGAACCAGAG